GAUGAACGCUGGCGGCGUGCCUAAUACAUGCAAGUCGAGCGAACAGACGAGGAGCUUGCUCCUCUGACGUUAGCGGCGGACGGGUGAGUAACACGUGGAUAACCUACCUAUAAGACUGGGAUAACUUCGGGAAACCGGAGCUAAUACCGGAUAAUAUAUUGAACCGCAUGGUUCAAUAGUGAAAGACGGUUUUGCUGUCACUUAUAGAUGGAUCCGCGCCGCAUUAGCUAGUUGGUAAGGUAACGGCUUACCAAGGCAACGAUGCGUAGCCGACCUGAGAGGGUGAUCGGCCACACUGGACCUGAGACACGGUCCAGACUCCUACGGGAGGCAGCAGUAGGGAAUCUUCCGCAAUGGGCGAAAGCCUGACGGAGCAACGCCGCGGGAGUGAUGAAGGUCUUCGGAUCGUAAAACUCUGUUAUUAGGGAAGAACAAAUGUGUAAGUAACUAUGCACGUCUUGACGGUACCUAAGCAGAAAGCCACGGCUAACUACGU
rnacentral:rRNA from 1 species